GGCCCGGAUGGUGGAAUCGGUAGACACAAGGGAUUUAAAAUCCCUCGGCGUUCGCGCUGUGCGGGUUCAAGUCCCGCUCCGGGCACCA
rnacentral:tRNA from 1 species